CAAAUGCACACUCAUCACACUAUAACUGAGCACAACCCCACAAAAGAUUAUUUUAAUCUUUAAAUCUAGGGCUACUACAUCUUAUCUGCCAAAGUUCUGGUGACCGUUAAACCAAAAGAGAAUUACAAGAAACCACAUUUGGCAGCCCAGAUUUGGUAGCCUUGCACGUCUAAAGGAAAAACCGUUAUUAUAAAACCGCAAUGAUAGCAAACCAUUGUGACCAAUUGUUGAUUGUUCCAACAAUCAACCAAUGGAACAGCUUGCUCUCGUAAGUUGUGGGCGCUUCAUCACUGGAGGCUUCAAGAAGAGACUGGACAGCCAUUUGUCAGAAAUGGGAUAGAGUCUCCUGCUUGAGCAGCGGAUUGGACUAGAUGACCUACAGGUGCCUUCCAGCUCUUAUUGUGCUACUAUUCCGACCAAAAUACAGUACGCAAAUAGAGUUGUGUUCUUUUCCUAUUGUUGCCCGCUGGCGGUACGGUGCGAGGCCGCCCGAAUGAACAAGGUCCCCUUCCGGCGCUGUCCGCUGUCCUCCCUCAAGAGGAGCCCUGAGGCGCCGGAGCACGACCUCAGAGCCGCUCAGAGCGUUACAAUGGACUCCGAGGCGUUUGUUGCGCUCAUCAAGGCAGGUCAGCGCAGAGGUGGCCUCGGCGAUUGGCUGCAGCGGGUCACGGAGCAGAGCGAGGCUUGAUUGGCUGGGUCGGACCAUGUGGUAUGGAAGCCGAUGGUGGUGGAGACACAUAAACAUGGAGGCCAUCUUUCACGAGAGGCAAGAAGGUUCUCUGUGUGCCCAGCACUGUUUGAAUAACUUACUGCAAGGAGAGUAUUUCAGUCCUGUGGAAUUGUCUUCUAUUGCACAGCAGUUAGAUGAAGAAGAGAGAAUAAGAAUGGCAGAGGGUGGAGUUUCUAGCGAAGAAUAUAGAAUAUUUUUACAGCAGCCUUCAGUAAACAUGGAUGAUAGUGGUUUCUUCUCAAUUCAAGUUAUAAGUAAUGCCUUGAAAGUUUGGGGUUUAGAACUAAUCCUCUUCAACAGCCCAGAGUAUCAGCGGCUCGGGAUCAAUCCUAUAAAUGAAAGAUCUUUUAUUUGUAACUAUAAAGAGCACUGGUUUACAGUUCGAAAAUUAGGGAAACAGUGGUUCAAUUUGAACUCUCUCUUGACCGGUCCAGAACUAAUAUCUGAUACUUAUCUUGCACUUUUUCUGGCCCAGCUUCAACAAGAAGGUUAUUCAAUAUUUGUUGUAAAAGGUGACUUACCUGAUUGUGAAGCUGAUCAAUUACUGCAAAUGAUUCGGGUGCAGCAAAUGCAAAGGCCAAAAUUAAUUGGGGAAGAGACGCUGCAAUCAAGAGAUGAGAGUGUGCAAAAACCAGACUUAGAACAAGCACUAGAUGUUAGCCAGUCCUUUGAUAAUACCAAUAUGUUAGAUGAAGAUGAAGAAAAUUUCCAAAAAGCACUUGCACUCAGCAGACAGGAAAUUGAUAUGGAAGAUGAAGAAGCAGAUCUCCGGAGGGCUAUUCAACUUAGUAUGCAAGAAAAAUUUAUUUUCUGGAGCAGAGUGAGAUUCUUUCUGAAGUGACCAAAUGCAAGGAUUUAUUCCCAAGUUUGAAUGGUUUAAACUAAGUUUGGUGAAGAAAGCAAGUAGAGUAUUUGCAAGAAAUUGGGUUUUUUUACAUUCAUAUAUGUGGAAAAGUAUGAGGAAAGUUGAGUGAUAAGGAACAAUUUACCAGAGCUCUGCCGUUGAACUGCUUUGGUGGCAGAAGUGUGUUUGAGUGUCAAAAUUAGCUUCUUGCUUUUUCCAUCCCAUAAGAGCAAAAACAAAAAGAGUAAUCUUGCUUUUUCUCUUAAUUCAGUAACCAAAUUCUGAAGUCUAAGGUAGGAAUAAUAAUUUUAAAACAUUAAUAUUAUAAGCAUUUCAGCAUUUCAAGACUGUUUUAGGCAGUUAUUAAAAGAUUUAACGAUCUCUGCGUAUCUCAUGGGAGGCUAAAAUUCCUGGCCCUUCCUAAGGGUGCACUAAUUUAGGAGCUAAGCAUAGUUGUACCUGUCUUUUAGAAUUACAGUGCCACUUGAACUCACCCAUUAAAAUAGUAUCGUCCAAGAGAAUUGAUGUAGUAUAGUGGCUAAAGUGUUGAUAUACAAAUGGGGAGAGCUAGUUUCUAAUACAGUUUCAGUUAUGGAAGCACACUGGGUACAUUUGGAGCAGAGCACACUUAGCACAGCCAACUUCUCAGGAUUGUUACUGCUCAGAUAGCAGGCCUUAUACUAUGCUUAGAUAUAAUUGCAUAUCAAAUAAAAAUACUAAAUGCUAAGAUAGAGGUGCUAAUAUUUUACAUAUUUUUUAGUUUUAAUUGCCUAGAAUUACCAAAAUUGCUGGCCUAGUUUUAGACUUGCCUUCUUAUAAAUUCCAAUUAUAAGGUGUUUACAGUGAAAUAUAAUCAUUAUACAAGUAGUUCUCCUUUAGCAACUACCUUGUUUAGCAGCUAUUAAACUGCCUUGUUUAGCAACUUUUCAGUUACAGUGGUGAUGGUUAUGACCAUUAGCUACAUAUACGAUCUUCACAAGCCUGCAAAACUAAAGUAAGUUCAUAACCAUAGUCACAAUUUCACUUAGCAACAACUGCUUAACAACUAAGUUGCUGGUCCUUAUUGUGAUCACUAAAUGAAGGCUACUGUAAUGUAGUUUGUAAUCCUAACAAUCUCAGUGCACUGCAUUACUCUAGGUGUCAAUUCCCAACAAAGGUGUUUCUCAGUCUCACUUUCCACCAGCUUUCCAAGUCAGGACUCUACCUGUUUCAUUUACCUGGAUAGUUUUUGUUCUGUCAACUUGAAAUAUUUUUCUGCUCCAGGAUACAGAACCUAACCUGGAGAAAAAUACACAAUAUAUAUUUGGGUGGCAUUGUCCUGCCUGCCUGGGUCCACUGCAUAUUGAACUGGCCUGGCUGAAAUGGAACUAGCACCUAGAUACACUUAGAAAGUAGAAUAUAUAUGAACAGACUUGUAAGAGUUCGCUUUAUUGCUCAUCCAAAGGAAACUGGUCUUAUCUUCUGAAUUAGAAAAUGUUUUUGUGCAAAUACAAGUCUGCUAUUGAUUUUAAUUUUGAGCAGUCCUCCCCUAUUUUAUAUUAAUCAUAGUCAUAUAAAAUAUAUUGAUAAUCUCCAGAUUUAAAAUAUGUAUUGAUAUUUAUUAUUCAUGCUGUUAUAAUGUCCAGAUCCAACUGCUAUUUACAAUGUAAUACAUAGGACUUCCUUUAGGACUAUAUGAAACAUUCAGCUGGUAGCCCAACUACUAAAUAGGAUUAUACCAGUAUUAUUUUUUAAAUUUAUUUUUAUAAAUAAGUGAGUUAAACUGAGAGAAAGUGACGGCCUUAAAUCAUAUAGCUGGUUUUCGUUACUAAGGCAGACUAGACCUCUCAGUCUCCUGGUUUUGAAAUGCAGCGAUAUUAAAAUAACUGAUUAUUAGUAUAUGCAUAAGAUUACAGGUGAAAAUGUUCAUUUUGAGCUUCCAUUUAUUCAGUAGAUGAAAACUAGAAUCUUGUUCUGGUUUGUGGAAUGUCCUUCCUGAACAUGUCUAACUGACACCAGCCUUUUUAUUGCCAGCUAUGGAGGAAACAAAUCUGGGGAUAAUUGUGUUUUGUUUUGUUUUGUUCUAGGCUUUACAGUAUGACUGAUGGCACUUGCUUUGUUGCUUUUUUAGAAUUUUAUAUUGUUCCUUGUUAUUACUGUUUAAUUCUUCUAUUAUAUGAUUAUUAUACAAAUUUGCAUUGUACAUUGCUUUUGCUAUUUUAUGAGAAACAUAGUAAAUAUCCCAGUUAACUUAACCUUCCCAAUAAGUGGGUGUGUGUGACUUUUAGGAGAACAUCGAAGUGGCUUCUCAGAUUGUUGCACACAGAACAUUCCACAUUCAUCUGCAACAGGCCAAACUGAAUCUCUCCCAUCAGAAGAAUUGCGGCGUCGAAGACAGGCCUAUUUUGAAAAGUAAUGUAAACUGUGUAAAGCAUAAUUUGUGGGUAGCAAGCUCCAGAAGCCUUUGUUAAGUGAUAUUACUUUAUUUCUUGCUGUUUUUCAAGUAUUCUGGAUUAUAGUUCCUAUCUUUUCAAAAACUAACUAUGCUGGUUAGAGUUGUAGUCCAAAGUACUGAGUUCUAAGAGGGUUUUUUUCUGAAUUAACUCAUACCAGUGUUUAACUGGUUCUUAAACUCCUGAACAACUCACUCAGUUUUGCAAAUAUCUUGAUUCUUUUGGCUUGAUAUUAUAGUACAAGACUGAGGCACCAUGCUGGCUGCAGAUAGCAGGAUUCCGUACUUGGGCAAAUCACGCUACCUACGUAACUAAUUCAUUGACAUCAGCAGCUGCAAAAGCAAGGUCAGAUUCCACAAUUCCAUGAUGAAGCAGCUACUAAUUCGCACACACUAGUUAAUGACACAGGAGGUGAUAUGAGUGAAAAUGAUAUGCUUCAAGCUGCUAUGAAUAUGUCCUUGGAAA